rnacentral:rRNA from 1 species
UACGUAGGGUGCAAGCGUUGUCCGGAAUUAUUGGGCGUAAAGAGCGUGUAGGCGGCUCGGUAAGUCCGCUCUGAAAGCCCGGGGCUCAACCCCGGGAGGCGGGCGGAUACUGUCGGGCUAGAGUCCGGAAGAGGCGUGUGGAAUUCCCGGUGUAGCGGUGAAAUGCGCAGAUAUCGGGAAGAACACCCGUGGCGAAGGCGGCACUCUGGGACGGUACUGACGCUGAGACGCGAAAGCGUGGGGAGCGAACAGG